AUUGAACGCUGGCGGCAGGCCUAACACAUGCAAGUCGGACGGUAGCACAGAGAGCUUGCUCUCGGGUGACGAGUGGCGGACGGGUGAGUAGUGUCUGGGAAACUGCCCGAUGGAGGGGGAUAACUACUGGAAACGGUAGCUAAUACCGCAUAACGUCUUCGGACCAAAGUGGGGGACCUUCGGGCCUCACACCAUCGGAUGUGCCCAGAUGGGAUUAGCUAGUAGGUGGGGUAAUGGCUCACCUAGGCGACGAUCCCUAGCUGGUCUGAGAGGAUGACCAGCCACACUGGAACUGAGACACGGUCCAGACUCCUACGGGAGGCAGCAGUGGGGAAUAUUGCACAAUGGGCGCAAGCCUGAUGCAGCCAUGCCGCGUGUAUGAAGAAGGCCUUCGGGUUGUAAAGUACUUUCAGCGGGGAGGAAGGCGAUGGAGUUAAUAGCUUCAUCGAUUGACGUUACCCGCAGAAGAAGCACCGGCUAACUCCGUGCCAGCCGCCGCCGUAA
rnacentral:rRNA from 1 species